rnacentral:lncRNA from 1 species
GUCACGACCGGACCUAAAUAAGGAUAAUUAAGCCGGGGAAACCGUGACUAAUGGAGGGAGAUUAGAAGCGUGGUAGAAAGGGGAAUAAUCAAACAAGAAAGGAUCGCAUUACCAUUUUUUACAACAGGGAUAUUUAUAAAUAUAACAGAGCUUUAGUCGUAUAGACUUAAAUAACUAAUAAGUUCGGAUAACUCCGACUUAUCCAAAAUAACAUAAAACUUCUGAGUACGCAGCGGAAUAAGGUUCUGAUUACAUGUAUGAAGACAUGUAACCCUAGAGUUUUUCAUAGCAUAUAAUAUUGCGACAAAAGAGGAUUCCACUCGUCACUUCAUCACCAUCGUCUACUGCUCAACCUGCACAUUUAGAAAUACAUGCAGGGCUGAGUACAAAGGUACUCAGUGGGCACAUAUGCCUACUAUGAAAUAUAAUAUGCUUCGUAAAGAUUUAAAUUGUCAUGCC